rnacentral:rRNA from 1 species
GACGGAAGGUGCAAGCGUUGCUCGGAAUCACUGGGCGGAAAGGGUGCGUAGGCGGCCGUGCAAGUCUGGCGUGAAAGCCCCGGGCUCAGCCCGGGAAGUGCGCUCGAAACUGCGCGGCUCGAGUGCCGGAGGGGAGAGUGGAAUUCCUGGUGUAGCGGUGAAAUGCGUAGAUAUCAGGAGGAACACCAGUGGCGAAGGCGAGUCCCUGGACGAUACCUGACACUGAGGCACGAAAGCUAGGGGAGCAAACAGG